GCCGCGGUGGUGGAAUGGUAGACACGGAGGACUUAAAAUCCUUUGAGAUUUAAACCCUCAUGCGAGUUCGAGUCUCGCCCGCGGUA
rnacentral:tRNA from 1 species